rnacentral:rRNA from 1 species
UACGAGAGGCCCAAACGUUAUUCGGAUUUACUGGGCUUAAAGAGUUCGUAGGCCGCGCGGAAAGUAGGGUGUGAAAGCCCUCGGCUCAACCGAGGAACUGCGCUCUAAACUACCGUGCUUGAGGAACCUAGAGGUGAGCAGAACUGAUGGUGGAGCGGUGAAAUGCGUUGAUAUCGGGAGGAACACCAGUGGCGAAGGCGACUACCUGGCCUGUUCUUGACGCUGAGGCGCGAAAGCUAGGGGAGCAAACGGG